UAGGGAAUCUUCGGCAAUGGGGGCAACCCUGACCGAGCAACGCCGCGUGAGUGAAGAAGGUUUUCGGAUCGUAAAGCUCUGUUGUAAGUCAAGAACGGGUGUGAGAGUGGAAAGUUCACACUGUGACGGUAGCUUACCAGAAAGGGACGGCUAACUACGUGCCAGCAGCCGCGGUAAUACGUAGGUCCCGAGCGUUGUCCGGAUUUAUUGGGCGUAAAGCGAGCGCAGGCGGUUUGAUAAGUCUGAAGUUAAAGGCUGUGGCUCAACCAUAGUUCGCUUUGGAAACUGUCAAACUUGAGUGCAGAAGGGGAGAGUGGAAUUCCAUGUGUAGCGGUGAAAUGCGUAGAUAUAUGGAGGAACACCGGUGGCGAAAGCGGCUCUCUGGUCUGUAACUGACGCUGAGGCUCGAAAGCGUGGGGAGCGAACAGGAUUAGAUACCCUGGUAGUCCACGCCGUAAACGAUGAGUGCUAGGUGUUGGAUCCUUUCCGGGAUUCAGUGCCGCAGCUAA
rnacentral:rRNA from 1 species